rnacentral:rRNA from 1 species
GACGAACGCUGGCGGCGUGCUUAACACGUGCAAGUCGAACGGAAAGGCCUCAGCUUGCUGGGGUACUCGAGUGGCGAACGGGUGAGUAACACGUGGGUGAUCUGCCUUGCACUCUGGGAUAAGCUUGGGAAACUGGGUCUAAUACCGGAUAUGAACUGCCUUUAGUGUGGUGGUUGGAAAGUUUUUUCGGUGCAAGAUGAGCUCGCGGCCUAUCAGCUUGUUGGUGGGGUAAUGGCCUACCAAGGCGUCGACGGGUAGCCGGCCUGAGAGGGUGUACGGCCACAUUGGGACUGAGAUACGGCCCAGACUCCUACGGGAGGCAGCAGUGGGGAAUAUUGCACAAUGGGCGGAAGCCUGAUGCAGCGACGCCGCGUGGGGGAUGACGGCCUUCGGGUUGUAAACUCCUUUCGACAGGGACGAAGCUUUUUGUGACGGUACCUGUAUAAGAAGCACCGGCUAACUACGUG